rnacentral:rRNA from 1 species
UGAGUGCGAGCUGCUACGGCAGCGAAGUUGGUGAUGUCAUGCUUCCAAGAAAAGCCCUAUACCCGUUAAGGCAUCAUGGCCUGUACCCGAAACCGACACAGGUGGGGUGGUAGAGAAUACCGAGGGGCGCGAGGUAACUCUCUCUAAGGAACUCGGCAAAAUGGCCCCGUAACUUCGGGAGAAGGGGUGCCACCGCAAGGUGGUCGCAGUGAAGAGGCCCAGGCGACUGUUUACCAAAAACACAGGUCUCCGCUAAGUCGCAAGACGAUGUAUGGGGGCUGACGCCUGCCCAGUGCCGGAAGGUUAAGGAAGCUGGUCAGCGCAAGCGAAGCUAGCGACUGAAGCCCCGGUGAACGGCGGCCGUAACAAUAACGGUCCUAAGGUAGCGAAAUUCCUUGUCGGGUAAGUUCCGACCCGCACGAAAGGCGUAACGAUCUGGGCGCUGUCUCGGAGAGAGGCUCGGCGAAAUAGAAUUGUCUGUGAAGAUGCGGACUACGUGCACCCGGACAGAAAGACCCUAUGAAGCUUUACUGUAGCUUGGUAUUGUGCCCGGGCUCGCAAUGCGCAGGAUAGGUGGGAGGCUUUGAUCAUCGGCUUGCGGGUCGAUGUGAGCCAACGGUGAGAUACCACUCUUUGCGAGCUAGGGUUCUAACGGCCACCCGUCAUCCGGGGGCCGGACAGUACCUGGUGGGCAGUUUGACUGGGGCGGUCGCCUCCUAAAAGGUAACGGAGGCGCGCAAAGGUUUGCUCAGGCUGGUUGGAAAUCAGCCGACGAGUGUAAAAGCAGAAGCAAGCUUGACUGUGAGACCAACAAGUCGAACAGGGAGGAAACUCGGCUUUAGUGAUCCGACGGUUCUGAGUGGAAGGGCCGUCGCUCAACGGAUAAAAGUUACUCUAAGGAUAACAGGCUGAUCUCCCCCAAGAGUUCACAUCGACGGGGAGGUUUGGCACCUCGAUGUCGGCUCAUCGCAACCUGGGGCUGAAGUCGGUCCCAAGGGUUGGGCUGUUCGCCCAUUAAAGCGGUACGCGAGCUGGGUUCAGAACGUCGUGAGACAGUUCGGUCCAUAUCCGGUGCACGCGCAGGAAUAUUGAGAGGAUUUCUCCCUAGUACGAGAGGACCGGGAGGAACGCACCUCUGGUGUACCAGUUAUCGUGCCAACGGUAAACGCUGGGUAGCCAUGUGCGGAGUGGAUAACCGCUGAAAGCAUCUAAGUGGGAAGCCCACCUCAAGAUGAGUAUUCCCAUGGCGUAAGCCAGUAAGGUCACGGGAAGAACACCCGUUGAUAGGCUCUAUGUGGAAGCGCAGUAAUGCGUGAAGCAGAGGAGUACUAAUAGACCGAGGGCUUGACC